GAUCUAUUCGAGGAGGCGUUGAGGCGGUGGGAGGAGGCGUUGACGUUCAGGAGCAGGCAGGAGGAGGACGAUGAUGCCAGCUGUGAACCCGUCAAAACAGGAGCGGAAGAAGCUGUCGCUGAGCAGGGCACGGAGGAGGGGAUGAGUGCAGAGUUCCUCCUCCGGCUGAAGUCUCUGCUGCAGAGAGCCUACAGCCUGCAGGAGGAGUUUGAGGGGGUGCUGUGUCUGUCGGAGCCCUCGUCCCUCUGCCAGGAUAAAAUGAUGUUGGACGUUCUGUCCAGAGAGGAGCUGGACGACGUGUGUCUGAGGGACAGCAUGAGCAUCGCCUCCAACGACUCCUUUGUGUCGGCUGCUGAGGUAA